rnacentral:rRNA from 1 species
UACGUAGGGGGCAAGCGUUGUCCGGAAUCAUUGGGCGUAAAGCGCGUGUAGGCGGUCCGGUAAGUCCGCUGUGAAAGUCCAGGGCUCAACCCUGGGAUGCCGGUGGAUACUGUCGGGCUAGAGUACGGAAGAGGCGAGUGGAACUCCUGGUGUAGCGGUGAAAUGCGCAGAUAUCAGGAAGAACACCAAUGGCGAAGGCAGCUCGCUGGGACGCGACUGACGCUGAGACGCGAAAGCGUGGGGAGCGAACCGG